GCCGACGUAGCUCAGUUGGUAGAGCGCCGACCUUGUAAGUCGGGGGUCAUCGGUUCGAUCCCGAUCGUCGGCU
rnacentral:tRNA from 1 species